rnacentral:rRNA from 1 species
UACGUAGGGUGCGAGCGUUGUCCGGAAUUACUGGGCGUAAAGAGCUCGUAGGUGGUUUGUCGCGUUGUUCGUGAAAACCGGGGGCUUAACCCUCGGCGUGCGGGCGAUACGGGCAGACUUGAGUACUGCAGGGGAGACUGGAAUUCCUGGUGUAGCGGUGGAAUGCGCAGAUAUCAAGAGGAACACCGGUGGCGAAGGCGGGUCUCUGGGCAGUAACUGACGCUGAGGAGCGAAAGCGUGGGGAGCGAACAGG